rnacentral:rRNA from 1 species
AGUGAACGCUGGCGGUAGGCCUAACACAUGCAAGUCGAACGGCAGCACAGUAAGAGCUUGCUCUUACGGGUGGCGAGUGGCGGACGGGUGAGGAAUACAUCGGAAUCUACUUUUUCGUGGGGGAUAACGUAGGGAAACUUACGCUCAUACCGCAUACGACCUACGGGUGAAAGCAGGGGAUCUUCGGACCUUGCGCGAUUGAAUGAGCCGAUGUCGGAUUAGCUAGUUGGCGGGGUAAAGGCCCACCAAGGCGACGAUCCGUAGCUGGUCUGAGAGGAUGAUCAGCCACACUGGAACGGAGACACGGUCCAGACUCCUACGGGAGGCAGCAGUGGGGAAUAUUGGACAAUGGGCGCAAGCCUGAUCCAGCCAUACCGCGUGGGUGAAGAAGGCCUUCGGGUUGUAAAGCCGUUUUGUUGGGAAAGAAAAGCAGCAGGUUAAUACCCCGCUGUUCUGACGGUACCCAAAGAAUAAGCACCGGCUAACUUCGUG